GCCAGGCGCAGUGGCGCAUGCCUGUAGUCCCAGCUACUCGGAAGGCUGAGGUGGGAGAAUCCCUUGAGCCCAGGAGUUCUGGGCUGUAGUGUGCUAUGCCAAUUGGGUGUCCGCUCUAAGUUCAGCAUCAAUAUGGUGACCUCCCGGAAGCAGGGAACCACCAGGUUGCCUAAGGAGGGGUGAACUGGCCCAGGUGGGAAACAGAGCAGGUCAAAACUCCUGUGCUGAUCAGUAGUGGGAUCAUGCCUGUGAAUAGCCACUGCACUCCAGCCUGGGCAACAUAGCAAGACCUCAUCUCUU
rnacentral:SRP_RNA from 1 species